UGGGGGAUAUUGCACAAUGGGCGAAAGCCUGAUGCAGCAAUGCCGCGUGAGGGAAGAAGGUUUUCGGAUUGUAAACCUCUGUCCCUGAUGACGAAGUAAGUGACGGUAAUCAGGGAGGAAGCCACGGCUAACUACGUGCCAGCAGCCGCGGUAAUACGUAGGUGGCAAGCGUUGUCCGGAAUUACUGGGUGUAAAGGGAGCGCAGGCGGGAGAGCAAGUCAGCGGUGAAAACUAUGGGCUCAACCCAUAGACUGCCGUUGAAACUGUUUUUCUUGAGUGAAGUAGAGGCAGGCGGAAUUCCGAGUGUAGCGGUGAAAUGCGUAGAUAUUCGGAGGAACACCAGUGGCGAAGGCGGCCUGCUGGGCUUUUACUGACGCUGAGGCUCGAAAGUGUGGGGAGCAAACAGG
rnacentral:rRNA from 1 species